AUUUUUUUUUAUGGAUUAAUUUCAUACAUGUCACUUUAAAAAUAGUAAAUAACAAAUAUAUUCCUAUAAAGUACAACUUUCACAUAUUGUCCUUACAAAAGUCUUGAUAUUUUCAAAUAUCCCCCUCCCGUUAGAAUUUGUUAGAACAUUUUAGUUAACCAUAGGUUAAAUACUUAACCUUGGUUAGUUUUUAACAUUUCUACCUCUCUUAUAUUAUACUGUUAUGAUUUUUAGAGGGACAUAUUUGUGAUGACAAAAUUAAAAAUAUAAACAUUUCUCUAACAGUAACAAAUCAGAGGGACAAAUUUGAAAGCAUCAGGACUUUUGCAGGGACAACAUAUGAAAGUUGGACUUUGCACUGAUAUAUUUGUCAUUUACUAUGUUUGCAGGGAGUAGGAGAUGGGAGAGGGGUGGUGCUCGGUGAGGUGGAGGGAGAGGAACCAGCCGCAGGAGCUCUGUGACCAAGAGAGAGAGGGAUCUUUUCUUGCUUCGAAAAUGGGGAGAAGGGGAUAAGGAGGGUAAUUUGAAAAAUU
rnacentral:lncRNA from 1 species